rnacentral:rRNA from 1 species
AGCGAACGCUGGCGGCAGGCUUAACACAUGCAAGUCGAGCGGGCAUCCUUGUGGUGUCAGCGGCAGACGGGUGAGUAACGCGUGGGAACGUGCCCUUCGUUUCGGAAUAACUCAGGGAAACUUGAGCUAAUACCGGAUACGUGCGAGAGCAGAAAGGUUUAUCUGCCGAAGGAUCGGCCCGCGUCUGAUUAGCUAGUUGGUGAGGUUACGGCUCACCAAGGCGACGAUCAGUAGCUGGUCUGAGAGGAUGAUCAGCCACACUGGGACUGAGACACGGCCCAGACUACUACGGGAGGCAGGAGUGGGGAAUAGUGGACAAGGGGGGCAACCCUGAUCCAGCCAUGCCCCGUGAGUGAUGAAGGCCUUAGGGUUGUAAAGCUCAUUUCACCGGGACGAUAAUGACGGUACCGGAGGAAUAAGCCCCGGCUAACUUCGUG